rnacentral:rRNA from 1 species
AUUGAACGCUGGCGGCAUGCCUUACACAUGCAAGUCGAACGGCAGCACGGGUGCUUGCACCUGGUGGCGAGUGGCGAACGGGUGAGUAAUACAUCGGAACGUACCUUAUCGUGGGGGAUAACGCAGCGAAAGCUGUGCUAAUACCGCACACGCCCUGAGGGGGAAAGCGGGGGAUCGAAAGACCCUGCGCGAUUAGAGCGGCCGAUGCCUGAUUAGCUUGUUGGUGGGGUAAAAGCCCACCAAGGCGACGAUCAGUAGCUGGUCUGAGGGGACGAUCAGCCACACUGGGACUGAGACACGGCCCAGACUCCUACGGGAGGCAGCAGUGGGGAAUUUUGGACAAUGGGGGCAACCCUGAUCCAGCAAUGCCGCGUGAGUGAAGAAGGCCUUCGGGUUGUAAAGCUCUUUUGUCAGGGAAGAAACACCGGCUCUAACACAGUCCGGGGAUGACGGUACCUGAAGAAUAAGCACCGGCUAACUACGUGCCAGCAGCCGCGGUAA